UCAAACUUGGUCAUUUAGAGGAAGUAAAAGUCGUAACAAGGUUUCCGUAGGUGAACCUGCGGAAGGAUCAUUGCCGAACGGACGCCCGGUUCCAACCUCUCUUCACCGAGAGGAAACCGGGUGUCUUUUUCGACCAACCCAUGUGAACUCGUUCAAUGUGUUUAACAGUGUUGGUGUGGUGGUGGUGGGGGCAACCCCCCUCACACACACAUCCCGCUGUCCAAACAUUUUUAACAAACCACAUUUCUGAACACUCUUGACUGAGACUUACAGGUCACGCCUAAAAACGUUGAUCUCAAAAACCUAACCAUUACAACUUUUAACAACGGAUAUCUUGGCUCGCGCAUCGAUGAAGAACGCAGC
rnacentral:misc_RNA from 1 species